AACUCAGGGAAACUUGAGCUAAUACUGAAUAAGCCCUUCGGGGGAAAGAUUUAUCGCCAUUGGAGCGGCCCGCGUCUGAUUAGCUUGUUGGUGAGGUAAAAGCUCACCAAGGCGACGAUCAGUAGCUGGUCUGAGAGGAUGAUCAGCCACACUGGGACUGAGACACGGCCCAGACUCCUACGGGAGGCAGCAGUUAGGAAUCUUGCGCAAUGGGCGAAAGCCUGACGCAGCCAUGCCGCGUGAAUGAUGAAGGUCUUAGGAUUGUAAAAUUCUUUCAGCGGGGAAGAUAAUGACGGUACCCGCAGAAGAAGCUCCGGCUAACUUCGUGCC
rnacentral:rRNA from 1 species